UAUAGACAUUUUGACAUAAAGGAAACAAGUAUUUUGAUGUUGAACAAUUGUACAGACUACUACAUGCAUCUAAGUAUGCUGAUUGGUGCAGAAAUAUUGAGUUGAUCAGCAAAACUACUCAUACAAAAUCACAUUUUCUUUUUAUGGAGUUAAAAUGCAGCAGAUAUGGGGACACAGAUACAAACACCAUUAAAUGGGAGAGGAAGGCAUUGUAUUAAUGGUGCAGGCUGGACAGCUGAACAAACACGAGUACGCUAAAUCGUACCCUCUUCACGAAACUGAAAUCAGAACACCUCGUUUGCAAAUAUAAUGAAAGAAAGCACGUGGAGGCAGAUGAAUGGUGUAAGAUGACACUUACCACUUCUGCAGAAGCUUUAGCUUUCAUUGAGAGUUUGUAUUGAAAGUAUUUCAACACAAUAUAAGAUGAAAUGCUAACGCUAUUACGUGUAUGGACAGGAAAGGAUAACCCAACUGAGAAAUCUUAAAACAUAAAAUACUGAUUGUGCUUCUUUUCCUCUGCAGCAUUCAGAGCAUUCAUAGAGUAGUAUGAAAACCCUCGGAAACACUGAAGUGAAUAAAAGUGGAUGCGACUGUGCCCAUAAAUCUAGUACCAUGUGUAACUUAGAAAUAUGAAAUUGUAUUACUUAAUGUAUACAGCAAUUGUAGGAACUAUUCAUUUAACUUGUAAUGUCUGAUACUCUAUAUUCCUUAGGUUUUAAAAAUAGUUUUGAGUGUUUUUAAUCUGGGAGAUGUUAGGGAUUUAAUAGAAACUACUAAAAUCCCUACAACUUGAGGGAAAAAAAAGAAUAGGUUGCACGUCAACCUGUUUUAUAGGGAAAUCACCCACGAUUAUUCCCAGCAAGGCUUUUUAUGUGCAUUAAUUACUGAUAGCUUUGUAGUUUUGCCAUAAUGUUUCAUACAAUUACUUUGUGACUUUUCACAGAGUUGUCCUGAGUUUAACAAUAAGAUUAUAAUUCUAACAUUAAACAUUGAAUUAAUGAGUCUGGGAAUUAGACGUGUUUGUUUUUAAUAAUAUAUGACUCUAUUUAACCAAAAAAGCAGUGGAUGAUUCAGGCUCCCCCUCCUGACCCUAAACAUACUCAUGUUCGCAUGCUCACAUAUACAAACACAUACAGCCUUCCCCAAAAGCCAAUCAGCUUUUCAAAAAAUACACACGAUGAACUUUCGUUUCCCCCUACUCAACUCAUUUGGAGAUGUGCCUUUCUAUAUUAGCUUUUCUUUCUUUUUUUUUUUUUCUUCCUUCCCCUUCCCCUUCGCUUCUUCCUCCUUCCUCCUCAUCCCCACCCCCCAAGAUGCUGGUCUUUGAACAUCUAUACAUGUUCAUUUUGUAGAUUCCCAACUUUAGUUUUUGGAGACCAAAGUGAAAAUAAGGUAUCCUCUUGACUACUGGACAUCACUAGAUGCAUCACUCCUGAGGAAUGUAUAUUCUUAUACUGGUGAAAACAGCUAACAGGCAAAUAGAGAAUUGCACUUCCUCUCAGGCCGACCACUAGAAGGCACUCAGCAUGGAGAAUAAACAGCAGAUGGCAGCCCGCAACAUCCUUUCUGAAUCUGCGUGUCUACCUCUGAUACUAAUAGGAAA